rnacentral:rRNA from 1 species
CCUACGGGAGGCAGCAGUGAGGAAUAUUGGACAAUGGGCGCAAGCCUGAUCCAGCCAUGCCGCGUGCAGGAAGAAGCAUCUAUGGUGUGUAAACUGCUUUUGUACAGGAAGAAACACUCCCUCGUGAGGGAGCUUGACGGUACUGUAAGAAUAAGGACCGGCUAACUCCGUGCCAGCAGCCGCGGUAAUACGGAGGGUCCGAGCGUUAUCCGGAAUCAUUGGGUUUAAAGGGUCCGUAGGCGGUUUAAUAAGUCAGUGGUGAAAUCUGGUCGCUCAACGAUCAAACGGCCAUUGAUACUGUUAGACUUGAAUUAUAAGGAAGUAACUAGAAUAUGUAGUGUAGCGGUGAAAUGCUUAGAUAUUACAUGGAAUACCAAUUGCGAAGGCAGGUUACUACUUAUGGAUUGACGCUGAUGGACGAAAGCGUGGGGAGCGAACAGGAUUAGAUACCCUGGUAGUCCACGCCGUAAACGAUGGAUACUAGCUGUUCGGAGCAAUCUGAGUGGCUAAGCGAAAGUGAUAAGUAUCCCACCUGGGGAGUACGUUCGCAAGAAUGAAACUUAAAUGAAUUGACCGG